rnacentral:lncRNA from 1 species
AUCUUUUUCACAAUUUAUUAGUUUCUAUAUAUAUAACAACUUAUUAAUUAUGUUACAAUUACUUUGUGUGAAAAUUUUAGAAAUCCUUAUUUUUAUUGAUAUAAUAUAAUGUUUGUUAGCCUACUUUUCUAACUUUUUUCUUAAUUUUUUCUAUUUCUUAACGUAGAUUUGACAAUUUUUUCAUGUGAAUUAGGAUAAGAGAAUAAAAGAGAGACCUCUAUGUCAUUGUUGCAUCUUUGAUGCUCAAGAAGUCUAUGAAAAGUGACAAUUUAUGUAAGUAUAUAUCUUUGAGUGCAUUUCCACUAUAUAUGUUAUUAUUCAUAAUACCAUAUUUUUACUUACUA